rnacentral:rRNA from 1 species
AACGUAGGAGACAAGCGUUAUCCGAAUUUACUGGGCGUAAAGCGCGUGCAGGUGGUUCGGUAAGUGGAAUGUGAAAUCUCCUGGCUCAACUGGGAGAGGCCGUUCCAAACUACCGGACUAGAGGGCGGUAGAGGGAGGUGGAAUUCCCGGUGUAGUGGUGAAAUGCGUAGAUAUCGGGAGGAACACCUGUGGCGAAAGCGGCCUCCUGGGCCGUACCUGACGCUCAGACGCGAAAGCUAGGGGAGUGAACGGG